GCGCGAGAAACAGAGCCCACGACUCCCUCGUCUCUCCGGAAUCGCCACCACCAUUGCCUCGUCUCCCUCCUCCGACCCGCCUCAUCUACCUUGCACCGACCCUCCCCACCUCCCACCUCAUAGCUCUGGAGACUGCCGGAUCCGCCACAUCCCCACCCAACCGUCCCUCUCGCGUCCCAUCCUAGUCUCUUCACGUGGCUCCUCGCCGCGCUACCUGCGGCGGCUGCAUCAGGUGAUGUCCGGCGAAUCCCGCCACCGCGAAGCACAGCUAGAGGUCCCUUUGCUCCGUGGAGCCCUCCCAUCCAGCUAGAUCCAGCGCUCGCGGGCACCAAAGCCCACCCGCGACCCAUCCCCCAUGGCUAGGGUUUCGGGCGUCGGAUCCGGUGUCGGUGGCCAUGUUGUUGUCGUCCUCGUCUCAUCCGACGUGCGGGGAGGAACAUCCAGUUGACAACCUUGCUGCGGCUCGGGAUCAGGCAGCCAUGAGCUUCCUCCUCCUCCGGAUUCAGCGGAGGUGUAGCAACGGCAGUUUGAAGCAGACUAGGCACCCGCGGGCGUCUUUUGCGGCGAGGCUUUCAAGUGAAGGAAAUGGCGGUGUGGCGAUUUGUGUUCUAUUCUCCAUGCUUUAAGCUCAUAAAGACGAAAGAACUAUACAAUCGACUUUAUCACUAUUGUUUUAUUAAGAAAAAAAUCUGUUUUGUACACAUGUCUUGAUGAGUACUCCUCUUGACUCGAUUGUGUUGUAGGGAGUGAAAGCAUCCAGUUGGGGUGGUCUGCAGCUCUGGUCGCCUCCAGCAGCACCACAUAAUCAAAGUUCCAAACAGUAGCGUUGCACUGCUGCCUCCAGCCAACCGUAACAUAAUCAUUGGAUGUGUUUCUUAUGUAGAAGAUUUGAGUGAUCUGCAUGCACCAACUUGAUGUAGGGAGACACCAUGGAAGGUUUACAAAAUUAGCAAUGGAUCUCUAGGCUGGUGAUGAGUAAAUCCGUUUUAGUGGAUUUGGGGCUGUACGAUCGUUCCAAAGCACGGCUAUGUCGUAUAUUGUGGUGUCUGGAUUAGUCAUCAAUGAUCGCUAAUACUCAUGCCGGUACAUUUUCAGAAUCAUAACAGGGACGUAAUUCUUGCUACAGUUCUAAGUUAUGCUCCUAAGUUUAAACUUGAUGGUGCUGAAAUUAAAAUGCAUUUUGGACAGCGCAAUACAACACUUGCGAAAACUGCAGAUUUGGUACAGAGUCGCAAAAACUGCAAUACUAUUGGUAUUUGUUAAUGCAGAAAAAAUAUAUAUUGCCUGGCCUUCAACCUUUAUUGAAAAGAUAUAUGGAUGAUUAUAUGGGUGCGUAACAAGUACACUGCAAUGAUGAUGAUGAUGAUGAUGAUGAUGGAUGCUUUCAAGAAAAUAAUCCGCAAGUUGUGGGAUUAGUUUUAGUUAAGUUGUAGGGAUGUUGAUGGAUGAUUUUAGUUUAGAUUUUCUUCUCAAGAAAAUAUUAGUUUAUGCAUCACAUUUGGAUGCUGUUCCUCCUGUAAUAUCAUUAUUGUAGUCCAACAGUUUUAUACUAAGAUAUAUGAUUUCUUCCUCUUGUGAGUAAAUUCUUUUAUUUUUUUCCUCA